GACCGCUCCGGUGGCCUAAGUUGUUAGAGCGUCUGUCUAGGAUACGGGAGUUCGCGGGUUCGAGCUCCGGCUGGGUCA